rnacentral:rRNA from 1 species
UACGUAGGCAGCGAGCGUUGUUCGGAGUUACUGGGCGUAAAGGGUGUGUAGGCGGUUGUUUAAGUUUGGUGUGAAAUCUCCCGGCUCAACUGGGAGGGUGCGCCGAAUACUGAAUGACUUCGAGUGCGGGGAGAGGAGAGUGGAAUUCCUGGUGUAGCGGUGAAAUGCGUAGAUAUCAGGAGGAACACCGGUGGUGUAGACGGCUUUCUGGACCGUAACUGACGCUGAGACACGAAAGCGUGGGUAGCAAACAGG